CUUGGUCAUUUAGAGGAAGUAAAAGUCGUAACAAGGUAACCGUAGGUGAACCUGCGGUUGGAUCAUUAAAAAUAAAAGUGGAAUAAAAGAGAGAAUAGCGUAUACGCUUCCUCUCUUCUAUUCCAGCCUUUCGGGGAAACAUCCUGUGAACUGUUCUGUUUUUUGGCGGGUGGGCAGUGAGAACUGCUUGUCAGCGUGGGGGUGAUCACCUCUACGCCGUGGACAGCCCGUCAGCCGUGCCUAAAACCAAUUUAUUAUUAUUCAUGUCUGACACUAUAUUUUAUAAAUAUAUAAAACAACUUUUGGCAACGGAUCUCUUGGCUCUCGCAACGAUGAAGAACGCAGCGAAAUGCGAUAAGUAGUGUGAAUUGCAGAAUUCAGUGAAUCAUCGAAUCUUUGAACGCACAUUGCGCUUCCUGGUACUCCGGGGAGCAUGCUCGUUUCAGAAUCAUUAAACUCUCAAAAACCAUACGGUUUUCGGACCGUGUGGGGCUUGGAUGUGUGCGGGAACUGCCCUCCGGGGCAGCCGCUUUAAUUUGAUUGUGUGUGUCACGGUAAACCAUGCCGGGAACACAAGAGCAACAGAUUUCUAUUUCUCUUGUGACUCGGACGUGUGAUAUCGGGUCAUCCACCCCAUCAAUUAUACAGGAUGCGCCUCUACUUUGAUGCGUGUUCCGAUUACUUGGUCUGAAAUCGAGCAAGAAAACCCGCUGAACUUAAGCAUAUCAAUAAGCGGAGGA
rnacentral:rRNA from 1 species